rnacentral:sRNA from 1 species
UUCGCCUGUCGCUCAAGAGGAUGAGCACCUCCGAAGGAGGUUUGAGCCGAGCGUAGCGAGACCACGGCCCGCAGGGCAAGCAUCAAAGAUGCGCGUAAUCCUCUCUCGCCGACCA